GACGAACGCUGGCGGCGUGCUUAACACAUGCAAGUCGAACGAAAAUACCAAGCUUGCUUGGUUGUUUAGUGGCGAACGGGCGAGUAACACGUGAGUAACCUGCCCCUUACUUUCCUGGAUAACUGCUCGAAAGGGUAGCUAAUACGGGAUAUCCUGCCCAGCCUGCGUGGGUUGGUUUGGAAAGGUUGUCUUUCUGGUAAGGGUUGGGCUCUCGUCCUUUCGGCGUGUUGGUGGGUGGAUGGCCUACCAAGGCUUUGACGGGUAGCCGGCAGGAGAGGGUGCAAGGUCACAACGGAACUAAGGUCCGGCCCAGACUGCUAGGGGGGAGAGGAGUAGGGAAGAUUGCAGGAUGGGGGCAAGCCUGGUGAAACGGCGCCGGGUGAGGGAUGAUGGCGUUCGGGUUGUAAACCUCUUUGGUAAGAGAACAAGGCACUGCUUUUUUGGCGGUGUUGAGGGUACCUGAAUAAGAAGCGCCGGCUAACUACGUG
rnacentral:rRNA from 1 species